GGAGGCGCUCAGUCAGUCGGUCGGUGGAGAGUUGUUGGUCAUCGACGGAAGUGAUGAGAGUGAAAAAUACGCGCUGCUGUGGCACACUUGGAAGACAUCAGUCGACAGGACGCGUGAAUCCCUGCUGGAAAAAAUGUUGUUUUCUGCUUGAGACUCCAUGAAGAUCAUCUCCAUCAGAUUCUGUUAUGGCCAAUUUGUGAAGUGAAGGUGAAAGAAGUUCCUCCUAUUAAUGAGGUGAUGGUGACGCAAUAAAGCAGUUAAUGUUCCAGCUUAAACACACACCAUGAUAACAUGUAUAACAUAACCAGAAGCAUGUUUUGCCCCGUGGACAGACAGUGGACUCAUUCUGCCGCUGUCCUGCGUCAUUACGUCCCUCUGCUGUGCGACCUGACCUCUGGGGUUUGACUGACGUCCUCGGCUCUGUCCCUGUCCCCUCUCUGUAUCCCUCCCCUCCUCCUCUACGCCCUGCCUCGUCUUGUCAGCUCGGCUCACGCUCACAGUCCUGCUUGCCUCGGCGAACAUUCAACGCUGUCGGUGAGUUUUGGUAUGGAUCACAUAAAAACCAUCGACCGUUGACUGUGCCCCGAGGCUUUGCUCUGACGACGACGGCCGGAAUGAGCACAAAAAAAAUGAACAAAAGGGCAAGUGGGCGCAUGCAGAAUCUAGAAACGAAGACACGCACACACAUGCACAAAAGUGACACUCUGUUUCCACUGUACCCAAAGACCAAAGGUCACAAUCAACAUUCAUUGCUGUCGCUGGGUUGGACUGUGUAGAAAAGCUCACUGAACAAUGAGUGCAACUGUGGCCCAGAUCUGCCUGACUCGCGUCUCAGCCAAUCAGCCGACCGGAUGUGAAACACUCUGAUUUCUUUAUUUAUAUUCUACUUGUUUUUCACUUCUAUUUUCUUCCUCCCUCCCCGGCGCUGCAUAGUCUUCAGGGGAAGAGAGAGAGAGAGAGAGAGGGAGACACAAAUAGACUUCUGGCGGCUCUUGCUUGUCCUCAUCCUCCUCUCCUCUCCUCUAAUUGGUGGUUAUGUGUGCAGCAAGGGGGAAGGAAGCGGAGUGAAUGUGUAAUCAUUUGGAGUCUCUUCUCCUUUAGAUGUUUCAUCCCUCUCUUUUUUGUUUGUCUAAUUAUACACCGGGCUCGGUUAACUCUGUGUUAGCUGCGCCGGCGAGAACGAGCGGGUGACAAAGAGAGGGAGGACGAGGGGGCAGCAAAAGAGGUGGAGAGAUUAUAGCACCGGUAAAAUUAUCUAGUUUUCCCACUAUAUUUAUUCUAAUAUUCUUCCUGGUGUUGCUGCAAAAGCGUUGGGAUAUAAAGCAAUUUGCAAAUGCAGAGAGAAGAUUGUUUUUCACCUCUCUGAUUGAGGACGUCUCAUUAUCUGUGUUUGAGCUUCAUGAGAGACUGUCUGGUUUCCUGCCUGCCUCUGUGUGUGUGUCUGUGUGUGCACGUAUGCCAUGAUAGAAGACCUGUCUGCUGAUCUCAGAGUGCAAUAUGUUAUUUUCUUUCUAUACCAAACAGCCCGCUCCCUCAUGGGAAAACACAAGUCUAUAACCUUGUCUUCCUUCAGACAGUCUGGGACCGGCCAUGCAUCUCUUGUAUCAUGUAGUGUAAACACACAGUUGAUAUAUAUAUUUAUGUAGGAAUGUGUUUCAUUCAUUCAUUCAAUAAAGCUAAACCAGAAUCCAUG